rnacentral:lncRNA from 1 species
ACACUGUCAACAGGACCGCUGUGGAGAGAGGCCCAGUCAGAGAGAGGCAGAGGGAGGAGACAAAUGACUUAGUGUCAGAGGGGUGCAGAGGACAUCCUGCCCCCAGACAUCCUGCCCCCCAGCCUCCAUGUUCAUUUAGACUCAUGUAUCCCCAGGUUGGCUUCAAGCUCACUGUGUGACCAAGAACGGCCUUGAAUUUCUGAUCUACUGAUUGCAGCUUCUGGGUCCUGGGAUCACGGGUCUGUGGCACCACUCCUGGUUUCCGUGCUGGGGACUGAAACCAGGGAUUUGUGCAUUUAAGAUAAGCACUCCGGUAACCGAGCUCCACGCUCCUCCCCCUCCCCCCAUGUCAACCACUACCUUGAUUUUGAGUACCUACUGUGUACUAGAAAAACUGUUAAUAGUUAUCAGUUUUCCUACCGGUCUAUCCUACUGUGUGCUCUCAGAAGAGGCCAGGCUAUUGAUACACAGAAGUAACUGAAGGUCACUGAAGUUGAUCAAGAUCACCCCAGCUAAUUACACCACCAGGACCACGGGUUGUGGUAAUCUUCAAGUAGGUGUUGAUUGUCUCCCGUUACUCUGAACACUAGAGGGAACACACAGUUCGGCCUUAGAAGCCCUCUGUCAGCUGCACGGACUCCGUGGGCUCUGAGAAGUGAUCAAAGCCCCACAGGUUCCCCCAGAAGAUCCAACCUUUCCAAAUACCUGCUGCAUUGCCAACUGCCGGGCCAGAAUCCACACGGGAUGAGUGGCAGCCACCCCUCCUCUCUGCUGUCUCUUGAGCCCCUUCCCUGCGGCAAACCCUGAUUGAAGACCCUCCAUGCACUGGCUCUGAUUUUCAAAGGUCUAGGGGGCAAGCAUUGCAAGUGUGUGGAGAUACGCUGCCGAAACCCUGCUGCCCCUUCAGAUUUACCACCAUCCCUGACACCUGCCCCAGGACGGACUACCGCAGGGCCGACAGAGCAUGCACAGUCUCUUGGGAUCCCUCUACAGCUCAAGGCUUCCACCAACCCAGCAGAAACACGCAGACGUUGUUCCACCUCCUUUAUCUCCCAUCUCCUUCUGUGUCUCAGGGCCUGCAUGGCUGCGUAGGGCUUGCCUCGCUCACUCCAGCUCUCCCUGGGUGGUAUUUUAUAGUACAGCUGCCUGGCAUGCCUGAUUCCAUCUUGGCAUCUGCCCUUUGAAGGACCUGAACUCACACAGCAGACGUCUCUCUCAUCCCAGAGAAGAGGAAGCGGAGGACCGCUGGCGAAGUUCACAGUCAAGGGCGGCCAGGGCUGGGUUGUGGGCAGGCGUGUUUGAUUCCACAAGCUGGUUUUAGCACUUCAGGGCACUCCAUAAAGGAUUAAACUGACAGAA